AGCUCUACAGAUGCACAUGAUUCUAGAAAUAGUGCAUGGACCAUUGUACGAAGCUCAGCCACAGCCAGGUUUUUGGAGGCAGACCCUAUUCCAAAAAGGUAUCUUGUUUUUCUGAUAUUUUCUCUGGAGGACUCAGCUGGAAAUGUCCUCUGAAGAAUUGAUUCCACUGUAGCAACAAAUAUCUUCAUGAGACAUGCUUCAGAUGGACUUCCACGAGGAAGAUAUUCCAGGACUUUAAGAAGGGGUAUAUAAAGGUUCCAUGAUAAAAUGGGAGGUUGCAAUGGGGUUGCAACUAUAAUUUCAGGAAGAUCAACAGCUGAGGAACUUAAAGGAAUUAGGCCAUAAGCAGCUUCCCAUAUGGUGCAAAUUCUCCAUUCAACCUCGGGACCAUGUGCACAAAGCAUUGAUGCAAUCCCUUGGGCAGUGGCUUCAAUAGUUGCUUCAGUUGCAGGCACUUCUAUCUGGCAAGAGGGAUUUUUUUUUUUUCAAACGAAGUUAGGUUAUACAUAUGUUUGCAUAUGCAUCUGUGUGUGUGUGUGUGUGUGUGUAAAAUAACAGGUUAAGGUAGAUGAAUGCAUGAUCUGCACUCCAAAAACUGGAGGCAUUCAUCCCAAAGAAUAAAUUAGUUGGACACAAACAAUGAAAGCAAGUCACUAAUACCUGCUUCUUGUAGGAUGAAAUAUAACCAUCUAAAGGUUCAUGCUGAAAUUCAAAUCCUUCGACUUGUCUUAGAGGAGGAAAAAGCAAUGCAGGCUGUGAAAGUACGCGAAAAAGUAAUGCUGCAGCAGCAUCUGCAGCAAUCCCUGCUCUCAUGGACAUUGCAGUACCAAUUGCACGCAAGAAAUGCAAAUGCAUCCAGUUCCUUGGGAGCUAUAUCAAUAAGAAAAGCAAUUUAGAUAUGAGCAUUGAUGACAACUGAAUUCAUUAGUUGAACAAUGUCUAAAUCUGUUCUAAAUCCACAAUUUCAUUCACAGUAAACAACAUGAAUGAGUUCAUUAAUACUGCAUUCCACAACAAAUCUACCUCCUCAUUCUAUUGAUUACAUAUCAUCCGUUUUAUAUCUAUUAGCACAGUUCAAUUUUUAAGAUAACUUUCCAUCAUCUCACCUGAAUGGCUAUUUUUAGAAGCUCAGUCCACAUCUUAGUUAUUUUUUUUCUUUUGCUUUCUUUACAGCAGAGUCUGCACUAAUAGUCUAUUCUUAUUCAAUUUACGCGUACAGUUCUACAAUGUUAUUAGCAUAAGCACAUCUGCUAGUUUAAAUAAGUGUGCGUGUAUGUGUAAGAGUACAACAUCAGAUUCAUAAUGCCACAAAUUAUAUGCAUGAUUGUUUGAGAAAAGGAUGUUACACUACUGAAAACCUCAGAAAAGUAAAGCAUUGAUAAUAAAUGUUUGAGCAUAAACAUUGUGCAGUGCAGACACAUUGAAUGGACACUAACUCUUAAAACUCUUAACAUGGUUUUGAAUUUUGAAACAUUUACAUCAAAACAACCAAAAUAUUUGUAUUAGUGGAUGCUAGAUACCAAUAAAUAAAGCAUUUUUUUCAUUCUUCUUUUUCUUCAUUUUUUCAUUAGGGAAGCCCAGACCAAAAGAAAGGAGCAGCAAUCAAGGGUUCUUCACUCAAGUUAAAAUGUAAAUCACUAAUUUCAGCAUGAGAUAGAAUCCCAGAACCUGUAAAUCAUUCAGCUUGAUCUAGACCCUUUGUUAUUAAGACUUUUCUGGGUUUUUCUGGAUUUUUCUAAAGCCAUUUGGUGGAUGUUUGUGGCCUUUCUUAAUUAAACAGUAUCCUUUUGAUGCUUCUCCAGUUCAUGUCUGUGGAGAGAGAAUGUCUGAAAGGUAGGAUGAUGCAGCCAACAA
rnacentral:lncRNA from 1 species